GUUUUAUUAAUAUGUGUAUUUUAAUAUGUGUUUUUUAAUGUGUGUUAUGAGCUAAAUAUUAACCGGAAUUAAAUUUCAUUAUCAUUUUAUUUUAUUUGUGUUUUAAUUGAAGCUAAUUGUCAAGAGUUAUAAGAUAUCAAGAUGAAUUUCCGCGAUAAUUCAAAUAUCGAGUAUCGAAAGCUGGAUGCUCCAUUGAAAUUUAUCAAUAAAAACUAUAUCACCAUAGGCGAUAAAGAUCGAGAAAAAUAUAGCAAAAUAUUGGCCGAUAUCUUAGAGGCAUUCCGUAGAAAAAUGGCCGAAUCAGAUGAAG